rnacentral:rRNA from 1 species
UACGAAGGGGGCUAGCGUUGCUCGGAAUCACUGGGCGUAAAGGGUGCGUAGGCGGGUCUUUAAGUCAGGGGUGAAAUCCUGGAGCUCAACUCCAGAACUGCCUUUGAUACUGGCGACCUUGAGUCCGGGAGAGGUGAGUGGAACUGCGAGUGUAGAGGUGAAAUUCGUAGAUAUUCGCAAGAACACCAGUGGCGAAGGCGGCUCACUGGUCCGGUACUGACGCUGAGGUGCGAAAGCGUGGGGAGCAAACAGG